GAUGAACGCUGGCGGCGUGCCUAAUACAUGCAAGUCGAGCGAACAGACGAGGAGCUUGCUCCUCUGACGUUAGCGGCGGACGGGUGAGUAACACGUGGAUAACCUACCUAUCAGACUGGGAUCACUUCGGGAAACCGGAGCUAAUACCGGAUAAUCUAUUGAACCGCAUGGUUCAAUAGUGAAAGACGGUUUUGCUGUCACUUAUAGAUGGAUCCGCGCCGCAUUAGCUAGUUGGUAAGGUAACGGCCUACCAAGGCAACGAUGCGUAGCCGACCUGAGAGGGGGAUAGGCCACACUGGAGCUGAGACACGGUCCAGACUCCUACGGGAGGCAGCAGUAGGGAAUCGUCCGCAAUGGGCGAAAGCUUGACGGAGCAACGCCGCGUGAGUGAUGAAGGUCUUCGGAUCGUAAAACUCUGUUAUUAGUGAAGAACAAAUGUGUAAGUAACUAUGCACGUCUUGACGGUACCUAAUCAGAAAGCCACGGCUAACUACGUG
rnacentral:rRNA from 1 species